GUCAUGGGCGCGCGACCUGGUUCGUCUCCGAGGCGGUGCUGUCGCCGCCCCUGUGCUGCGCCGUCCCCGGGAGCGGACCGAGGCCUGGGGAGGUUCCGACUGGACAGACCGUGGGCUUUCCCUCUGAAGGUUCCACUCCGCGCCAGGCCUCCCUCCCUCCUCCGCCGGGCAGGGUGCUUUCCUCACGCGCCUGUAAUCCUGGUGCUCGGGAGGCUGAGGCAGGUCGAGGCCAGCAUGGCUGCACAGUGAGAUCAGGGCCAGCCUAGGCUACAGGGCGAGACCCUGUCUCAGGCACCGGACCGAAGACAGACAGCUCACGUGAUAAAGACAACUGUGCAGUUACACCCUCUGCGUUCCUGGUGCCUUCGAGGAAGAAUCUCAGGAGUGAGGAUGGGGAGGUCAAGCGAUGGGAAGUGAAGAGUUUCACGAAGGGCAAGGACACCAAGAUAAAGCAGAUAGACUGAAACAAGCACAGAGGACAUGAAGAAAUCUCACAAAAGCCAUUGAGACUAAAAUAGUCUCAUCUUCACUAGUACUUAGAGAAAUGCAA
ensembl:lncRNA